AUUGAACGCUGGCGGCAUGCCUUACACAUGCAAAUCGAACGGUAACGGGCCUUCGGGUGCCGACGAGUGGCGAACGGGUGAGUAAUACAUCGGAACGUGCCCGAUCGUGGGGGAUAACGAGGCGAAAGCUUUGCUAAUACCGCAUACGAUCUACGGAUGAAAGCAGGGGACCGCAAGACCUUGCGCGGACGGAGCGGCCGAUGGCAGAUUAGGUAGUUGGUGGGAUAAAAGCUUACCAAGCCGACGAUCUGUAGCUGGUCUGAGAGGAUGAUCAGCCACACUGGGACUGAGACACGGCCCAGACUCCUACGGGAGGCAGCAGUGGGGAAUUUUGGACAAUGGGCGCAAGCCUGAUCCAGCCAUGCCGCGUGCAGGAUGAAGGCCUUCGGGUUGUAAACUGAUUUUGUACGGAACGAAAAGCCUUCUUUUAAUACAGGAGGGUCAUGACGGUACCGUAAGAAUAAGCACCGGCUAACUACGUG
rnacentral:rRNA from 1 species